CUGGCAACUCUUCCUGUGGCCCGACCCUCUGUGGGUUCUCCACCAAAGCGCACUGCUGUAACAAGGCCACGAGCUGUCUGUAGGCUUUUAGCAAGCUGCUUCCACAGAGGCCGCCAGCGUGGAAGAACUCUCUGCACAGCCGAACUCCGCAGGGCACAGCCAGGAAGAGGGCAGGCUCUCGUGUGCCUGCAAGGCCUGAAAUGAUCCCAGGCAACCACCACUCUUAAGAAGUCAGAGCUGUGCAAGUCUAUUUCACCAGAUUCUCCAAGGGUCCUGGGACCCCCUAACGGGAAAGAGGCAUGUCAGUGAAGGAGAUAUCCCUACACAGCCACAGGAAAAAAAAUGGAUGAGAGUCCCAACAAGGAAUGCUUAUAGAAUAAUACAAACCACCAACAGCGAAGGCAGUGGCUGCACCCCAGCCAGGGAACUGGCUGCUUCCUACUCACUGUCAAGGCCAGCAGUGGCCUUGCCUUGCGGUGAGAUGAUUGCAGAGACAGGGAGCCGACCCAACUCUUGCCAAGUCCACAGCUGGGACACAGGGCACACAAAACGCCAUCAGGAUUCAUCCUCUGGGCUCCUCCAGCUCAUCCCACAGCCUAUGAACCCUGAAGCCGAGGUCUGCCUUUCUAACAUCCUUCCUCCAAACCAGGGGGCAGGGGACUGCUGCCUGUGAGGACCGGCUGUGACACAAAAGACAGAGCAGAGCAGCUCUGCUCCAGAUCGCUUUGUGAGGUAAGUGGAGGGCAGACAGGUAGCAGUGAGAGCCCUUGCAGCAUUGGUAGCAUAGUCCUGCCAGGGCCCACCCUGAAUACAGAACCCCCAGCUCCAGCCACACACUCUGUGAGGGUCAGGGCUUGGUACCCCCCAAAAGAAGUGUUUACUGAGGACCCUCACCUCACCUUCACUGCAAACCUCCCAGAAGCACUGAGAUGUCCGUCGGUGAGUGAUCAGGCCUG